rnacentral:rRNA from 1 species
UACGUAGGUGGCAAGCGAUACUCGGAAUCACUAGGCGUAAAGCGCAGGUAGGAGGUUUGGAAAGUCUCUUGUGAAAGCUCCCGGCUCAACUGGGAGAGGUCAAGGGAAACUACCAGGCUAGAGUGCGGUAGAGGUAGCUGGAAUUCCCGGUGUAGCGGUGAAAUGCGUAGAUAUCGGGAAGGAAUACCUAUGGCGAAAGCAGGCUACUGGACCGUCACUGACUCU